rnacentral:rRNA from 1 species
GAGUUUGAUCGUGGCUCAGAUUGAACGCUGGAGGCGUGCUUAACACAUGCAAGUCGCGCGAGAAAGGGACUUCGGUCCUGAGUAGAGCGGCGCACGGGUGAGUAACGCGUGGGUGAUCUCCCCUGGUGAUCGGGAUAACAGCUGGAAACGGCUGCUAAUACCGGAUAAUCUUCAUGUUUAGCUUCAUGGGGUAAAGGUGGCCUCUGCUUGCAAGCUACCACAUCAGGAUGAGCCCGCGUCUCAUUAGCUAAGUUGGUGGGGUAACGGCCUACCAAGGCGACGAUGAGUAGCUGGUCUGAGAGGAUGACCAGCCACACUGGGACUGGAACACGGCCCAGACUCCUACGGGAGGCAGCGAGUGGGGAAUAUUGCGCAAUGGCGAAAGCCUGACGCAGCGACGCC